rnacentral:misc_RNA from 1 species
UCUCCGUUGGUGAACCAGCGGAGGGAUCAUUAUAGAGUUUUCAAAACUCCCAAACCCAUGUGAACUUACCUAUGUUGCCUCGGCGGGAGCCUACCCUGUAGCUACCCUGUAACGGGUUACCUGGAACGACCCCGCCGGUGGACCUCCUAACUCUUGUUAUUUCAUGUAAUCUGAGAGUCUUAUAUUAAAUAAGUCAAAACUUUCAACAACGGAUCUCUUGGUUCUGGCAUCGAUGAAGAACGCAGC